rnacentral:rRNA from 1 species
CACGUAGGGGGCGAGCGUUGUCCGGAUUUAUUGGGCGUAAAGAGCUUGUAGGCGGUUUGUCGCGUCUGCCGUGAAAAUCCGGGGCUCAACCCCGGACUUGCGGUGGGUACGGGCAGACUAGAGUGUGGUAGGGGAGACUGGAAUUCCUGGUGUAGCGGUGAAAUGCGCAGAUAUCAGGAGGAACACCGAUGGCGAAGGCAGGUCUCUGGGCCACUACUGACGCUGAGAAGCGAAAGCGUGGGGAGCGAACAGG